rnacentral:hammerhead_ribozyme from 1 species
AGCCAGAUGACGAGUCCCAAAUAGGACGAAACACGCGUGAAACUGGAU